GCGGGCGCUGGGGCUCAGCCCGCCGGCCACGAUCCGCGACGCCCUCCUGGAGCACCGCGAUGACCCCGCGGUCACAUACAGCCUGUGGCACGAGUACGGUCUGUGAGCGGACGGCAAGACGGCGGCUCUGGUACGGCGCCGCAGUCCUGGCACGCAGCGCCGCAGCCCGGGUGGCCGCUGUUGGGUGAAUAAAGUGGUGAGUGCGUUAA